CACGUAGGGUGCGAGCGUUGUCCGGAAUUAUUGGGCGUAAAGCGCUCGUAGGCGGUGUGUCGCGUCGGCCGUGAAAACCUGCAGCUUAACUGUGGGCGUGCGGUCGAUACGGGCAUCACUGGAGUUCGGCAGGGGAGACUGGAAUUCCUGGUGUAGCGGUGAAAUGCGCAGAUAUCAGGAGGAACACCGGUGGCGAAGGCGGGUCUCUGGGCCGAUACUGACGCUGAGGAGCGAAAGCGUGGGGAGCGAACAGG
rnacentral:rRNA from 1 species